UUUAUAGAAUAAUUUUUGACCAUAACUAGGCCCAGUGUGCGGUAGUUGCUAUAGAACCACUGUGGAUAGAACUCUAGCCUUGAGCCCAGCCUUUGAGAAAGGAAUUAUAGAAACCUAUGAUUGGGCAAGUGGUCAGUAUCCAACUUGGACAGAAUCUAUUUGGAAAUCUCUAUCUGGAAGAAUGUUUCUAAAAGCAAGCCCUGCCAGUCAGCACUUCACUCUUGCUAUAGGAAUAAUUGUUCUUGUAUUUUCCUUUCUGUUCACGUUCUGGGCUGAGAAGCGAAGUAAUGUUAUUUUUGGAACUGAUGCACCCCAACAUUCGGAAUACGUAAACCCUGUAGCACUGUAGAGUACUUAAGGAUACAUUCAUUAUUAUCUCUUCUUUUUAAUUUCCAUUCUUCUUUCUUAUAAAAUUCAUCAUCAUCUUUAGAUUUGAAUAUACUUUCUUAAUUUUUUCCUUUUUUCCUUUCAUCUUUUUCUUCACUUUCAUAUUAAGUGUUACCUCUCUUAUUCUUUCCUCUAUUUUUUCUUUCACCUGUUUUUCUACUUUUUCCUCCUCAUGUGCUUUUUUUCUUAGUCUAAUCCUGCCUUCUUUUUAUAUUCCUUUUCUACUUUACUUAUUCUUUUCUUAGUCUAAUCCUGCCUUCUUUUUUUAUAUUCCUUUUAUACUUUACUUAUACUUUUCUUCUCGUUAUUUCCACCUUUUUUAAUAUUGAUAUUA